rnacentral:rRNA from 1 species
UACGUAGGGGGCAAGCGUUGUCCGGAAUCAUUGGGCGUAAAGAGCGUGUAGGCGGCCUGGUAAGUCCGCUGUGAAAGUCCAGGGCUCAACCCUGGAAUGCCGGUGGAAACUGUCAGGCUCGAGUCCGGAAGAGGCGAGUGGAAUUCCUGGUGUAGCGGUGAAAUGCGCAGAUAUCAGGAGGAACACCAAUGGCGAAGGCAGCUCGCUGGGAUGGUACUGACGCUGAGACGCGAAAGCGUGGGGAGCAAACAGG